CAGCUCUCGCUGCUCGAUUGGCUCAAACUUUGACAGAAAUGUCAGCUUCCGCGAAUCUCUCUUAUAAAGGAUUACUACUCAGAAGUAGUUUAUAGCCAAAUUACCGUGUUCAAUUAAAGGACAGGUGAAAACCAUUUAAAGUUAAAAGGAAAGCUAUUGUUAGGAAUAUUCUUCGAAUUCGAUAAAUACACUGAAAUUGUAAGUGAUAACUUUAACUAUACCAAAUGAUCUCCAAUCAGUAAUAAAUAAUUAUCUUUUAGCUUGUAGCUGCUGCUAAUGAGAAUCAGCGUUUUAUUCAAAUAUUCCUCAACACAACGUGUAAAUCCAUUAUAGUGCUAAGUAACCGCAAGCUAAACAUUGGUUACAAAUGGCAGAGAUCGAGAAAUUAAUCAAGACUUCAUAAUUUUCCACAAUCAACCUAUCACAGAAGAAGAGCCUAAAGGUAUUAACAUAAUUUCAAACCUUCCUAAAAAUACCCUAUAAUAGUUUCCCCAUCUAUUAUUUCAAUAAUUUAUAAUCUUCAGAGUUUUCUUGCGGCUCUCUAUUAAGUUUAUGAAAAUUUGUGGUAGUAAUUUAUCAAGACGUUUAUUUUAUUGAGAGGUCUCUUUUCUUAUUUUUUGAGGAACAUAUGAAGAAAUUACUUUAGAAACAUUGAAUCAUCUUGAAGUGGUGAUUGAAACGUAAUGGUUGGAACUAAGAAACUUAUAUUCAGGUCUUUACAGGACAAAGGUUGGAUUGGGAAUGAUCAGAAUUUUGACUUGUUAGUUUGUCUAAACAAUUGGGUAACUAGGGAGAUGUGUUGAUCGGUAACUAGAUUAAACUCAAAAAGGAUGAUUACUUCGAUCUUCAACACCCCCUCGUAAUCAGCCUAACCUAAAAAAAGUACUACAUAUAUCUCUACUUUACAGAAUCGAACAUUGUUGACGACGAUCUCUUCAAUUGGGUUUAUAAGCUGGGAUACCAAAACCAUUUCCGAUUCCAUGUAUCCAUUUUGGCUUCUUGUUAUCCGGUGAUCUUUUCACGUGAAUAUACCAGUAUGCUAGUAACGAGUUGUCGAACGACGCUUUCAUAACUUUCAAGCGUGUUGAUUCGUCAGCUUAAGCAUUAUUUCCAGGGAAUACCAAAACCACAUCCGGAUGAGGGCAGGUUACUUCCAAGCGUUUCGCAGACCACUGAUGCACUGCUCUCGAUCUUGAUGCAAGUAAAACGCAACUGGAACGUCUUGAGCAGAAUCCUCAAUUGAUUGAAGUUGAUUUUCUUUCGUCACCACACCGUCGGAACAAACGCUUCCUUGAUCUUCUUCGAAAAUUUCCCCCUCUUCCAGCAUCAACUAGAUUCAUUUUGUCAUCAGGAACCAUCUCCAUCGCCGCUUGAUCUUUCAUCCUUGAAUGGUCUAGCUGCCGGCUCCAAGAACUAGCGUUUUCCUCGGUGCACAUUUCUUCUCCAUAUAACGUCCAUCUCGUACAAAUCGUCACUAAUGGGACACACGCCAAUAGUAUCGCCAUUGAAACUUAUCUCAGCCGUUGUUGCUUCAAACGUUACCUUUAUUUCAGCUUUUGCCAUCAUCUUCACCGAUAGCAGAUUCGCUCGUACAUCCGAAACGUAUACAGUACGUUGUCGAUUGUACACGUUACUCCCCGGCUGCUGGUUCCUUCAAUUCGUCCUCUAUGCCAUGCAAUUAACGAUUGAUUGUCCUUUGCCACAGAAAUAACAACAGGUUGCUUCAAUUUCUCCAAGGAAACAAAAUAUUCCUGCCGAUUCACUAGCUGAUAACUAGCACCGGAGUCCUGAUUGAAGGUAACUGUUCUUCGGCUACUGCUAUCCGUCGACUUAAGGCUCAUGAACGCAACUGCUUUUCUGUUGGCCGUCACAUUCGCUUCCGCUCGUAGUUCGCUUCUGCAGUCCUUCACUUUAUGGCCCUUUUUGUUACAUCGAUGACAUCGUCCCAGGAACUUAUCGCUUCGUUCUUCAAACCAUGCCUUCUGCUGAUUUCCAACGAACGCGAACGGCUCCUUCUGAUUUACUUCGGUUAUUCGAUCAGAUUUCUUCAUUUCUUCCGCUAAUAAUCUCUCUCUGACGACACCCAGGCAGUGUUGCCACAUUUCUAUCUGUACCGAAGGCUCAAAAAUCUUUUUUAUCUGUACCAGAGAUUCUAAAAAUCUGUACCCAAAAUCUGUACCACACCCAACAUAAAAUUUGCAAAGAAACCCUAAAAAUCCUGAAUAAUUUGGGAAUUUAGCACAGUUUAAAUUGAAAUAAUUUCACCUAUUACACACUUAGAUUUUAUUUCGUUGUUCGGUAAAUUUUGUUACCGAAAACGUGCUGUAAAUAAAUAUUCAACUGAUGUUUCGGUAUUCCAAACAAGCUUUACCGAAAAACCGUACACAAUUAGAAAAAAUCAAAGGAUGUUUGCUUGUUUUCACCGCAGUCGUUAUUUCAUUUACCGAAAAACUUGUAAAUCGUUUAGAUUCACCGUAGUCAGUAAAAGUUUACCGUACUUCGGUAUCUAGUGCUACAGCGCUUUACCGAACAAAUGGUAAUUUGAGAUUUUCAGACCGCCAUGUUUAUUUGUGCAAGCAAGAACUGUGAGAAUGGAAAAUGCACUGUCGAGCAUCGUCCAAGACUGAACCCAUCCAAAAUGGAAUCGGCACCAUUGUUGUCCGCUAGAAGGGCUGAAUAACGGCAAACGUCCCACAAGAUUCGGCGGUGGAGUGGCGAUAGAGUGGAUAAUUAUGGCGGUGAAUUUGCAGCUUGCCUUUGGGUUGAUCGUGGCUAACAGUGAAAUUAUAUUGAUAAAAAAAAUAAACAUGUUGAACCGAAUAAAUAAACGAUCUAGGAAUGAAUUAGGUUGUUUCUUUAUCAUAAUGAAUUGCCAUAAUAAUUUUGUUUUUGAUCAUCCUAUCCAAUUCUGACUGCCUGCAAAUAUGAACAAUGCGUUCGGUAAUUAAUUUCACAAAUCCUUCGGUAAUAAUUAACGAACGAUUUGUAAUAUUUUGACAACUGCGUUUUGACUCCAAUUACGGAUUGCUCGGUUGUUCUUAACUUUACCGGAAGCAUUACCGAACGCUCAGCGGUUUAUAUUUCGGUAAAAAAAUUACCGGAGUCGGUGAUAUUUUCUAAGUGUGUAUAUAAUUAUUUUUUAAUUUUAUGGAAACAGUAUAUCUCAAUAAUAGUUUUGUGGAAAUAAGUUCCGAAUUUCACGCAUCUCUUCAAUGUUGUGUUACGAAAAUCGCCUAUUCCAAAAAUCUGUACCAAUCUGUACUUUUUCGUGAAAAUCUGUA